rnacentral:rRNA from 1 species
GAUGAACGCUGGCGGCGUGCCUAAUACAUGCAAGUCGAGCGAACAGACGAGGAGCUUGCUCCUCUGACGUUAGCGGCGGACGGGUGAGUAACACGUGGAUAACCUACCUAUAAGACUGGGAUAACUUCGGGAAACCGGAGCUAAUACCGGAUAACAUGUUGAACCGCAUGGUUCAACAGUGAAAGAAGGUCUUGCUGUCACUUAUAGAUGGAUCCGCGCCGCAUUAGCUAGUUGGUAAGGUAACGGCUUACCAAGGCAACGAUGCGUAGCCGACCUGAGAGGGGGAUCGGCCACACUGGAACUGGGACGCGGUCCAGACUCCUGAGGGAGGCAGCAGUAGGGAAUCUUCCGCAAUGGGCGAGAGCCUUACGGAGCAACGCCGCGUGAGUGAAGAAGGUCUUCGGAUCGUAAAACUCUGUUAUUAGGGAAGAACAAAUGUGUAAGUAACUAUGCACGUCUUGACGGUACCUAAUCAGAAAGCCACGGCUAACUACGUG